rnacentral:rRNA from 1 species
AAAGAAACUAACAAGAAUUCCCCUAGUAACGGCGAGUGAAGCGGGAAAAGCUCAAAUUUGUAAUCUGGCGCCUUGGGCGUCCGAGUUGUAAUCUCGAGAAGUAUUUUCCGCGCUGGACCGCACAUAAGUCUGUUGGAAUACAGCGUCAUAGUGGUGAGAACCCCGUAUAGGGUGCGGAUGCCCAGUGCUUUGUGAUAUACUUUCGAAGAGUCGAGUUGUUUGGGAAUGCAGCUCAAAUUGGGUGGUAAAKUCCAUCUAAAGCUAAAUAUUGGCGAGAGACCGAUAGCGAACAAGUACCGUGAGGSAAAGAUGAAAAGCACUUUGGAAAGAGAGUUAACAGUACGUGAAAUUGUUGGAAGGGAAACGCUUGAAGUCAGACUUGCAUUUUGGAGUUCAGCCGCAAGGUGUAUUCUUCAAUUCGCAGGCCAGCAUCAGUUUUUGGGGGUGGAAAAGCGCGGUUCGAAGGUAGCAGUCUCGGCUGUGUUAUAGCUUGCCGCUGGAUUCACUUUUGGGGACUGARGAACGCAGUAUACUUUUUGCAAGAUUCUCGGAUCUUUCGUACUUAGGAUGCUGGUGGAAUGGCUUUAAACGACCCGUCUUGAAACACGGACCAAGGAGUCUAACAUGCUUGCGAGUGUUUGGGUGUUAAACCCGGACGCGUAAUGAAAGUGAAUGGAGGUGGGAUCCGCAAGGUGCACCAUCGACCGAUCUGGAUUUUCUAAGAUGGAUUUGAGUAAGAGCAAUUAUGUUGGGACCCGAAAGAUGGUGAACUAUGCCUGAAUAGGGUGAAGCCAGAGGAAACUCUGGUGGAGGCUCGUAGCGGUUCUGACGUGCAAAUCGAUCGUCAAAUUUGGGUAUAGGGGCGAAAGACUAAUCGAACCAUCUAAUGUUGCUUGGUGGUUAAUAGGGACUUCAAAGUAGAGCCCUAGUGGGAGUGGUAACUUGCGACACUUUCAAAUUGCGGGGACGCCCUUAGAGCUCUGAUUACGGCGGCUCAUCGAAAGAUAGAGUGCAGCAGCAGGUUAAUGGCCUCGCGGAUCGUAAAAACAUCAGAGAUUGGGUAAUCCGCAGCCAAGUCCUAAAGGGUACCUUUCAGCUACCCCAUGGAUGCAGUUCAUCGACUAAAUGGAAGUGGGUGCCCUUCCUUUACCGGAAGGGUGCUUGAGAUAUAGUCAGCCCCUCGUGAGAGCGAGCUAAUGGGACUAAGAGUCGCUUCGUUUUUACCACUUGCAAACGACGAUUCCCGAGCCCAUUGGGGUCUAAGAGGAAAUAGUAAAACUCGAAGACUGGAUUACGUGCUAGUAGCUGGUUCCUGCCGAAGUUUCCCUCAGGAUAGCAGAAACUCACAUCAGUUCUAUGAGGUAAAGCGAAUGAUUAGAGGCCUUGGGGUUGAAACAACCUUAACCUAUUCUCAAACUUUAAAUAUGUAGGAAGUCCUUGCUACUUUG